GGGCCGGUAGAUCAGCUGGAAGAUCGUCUCGCUUGCACCGAGAAGGCCUCGGGUUCAAGUCCCGACCGGUCCACCA
rnacentral:tRNA from 1 species